GCAACUCGACUGCACGAAGUCGGAAUUGCUAGUAAUCGCGGAUCAGCAUGCCGCGGUGAAUACGUUCCCGGGCCUUGUACACACCGCCCGUCACACCAUGGGAGCCGGUAAUACCCGAAGUCAGUAGUCCAACCUCGUGAGGACGCUGCCGAAGGCAGGAUUGGCGACUGGGGUGAAGUCGUAACAAGGUAUC
rnacentral:rRNA from 1 species